GGAAUCUGCCUAGUAGUGGGGGAUAACGUCCGGAAACGGGCGCUAAUACCGCAUACGUCCUACGGGAGAAAGUGGGGGAUCUUUGGACCUCACGCUAUUAGAUGAGCCUAGGUCGGAUUAGCUAGUUGGUGAGGUAAUGGCUCACCAAGGCGACGAUCCGUAACUGGUCUGAGAGGAUGAUCAGUCACACUGGAACUGAGACACGGUCCAGACUCCUACGGGAGGCAGCAGUGGGGAAUAUUGGACAAUGGGCGAAAGCCUGAUCCAGCCAUGCCGCGUGUGUGAAGAAGGUCUUCGGAUUGUAAAGCACUUUAAGUUGGGAGGAAGGGUACUUACCUAAUACGUGAGUAUUUUGACGUUACCGACAGAAUAAGCACCGGCUAACUCUGUGCCAGCAGCCGCGGUAAUACAGAGGGUGCAAGCGUUAUUCGGAAUUACUGGGCGUAAAGCGCGCGUAGGUGGUUUGCUAAGUUGGAUGUGAAAGCCCCGGGCUCAACCUGGGAACUGCAUCCAAAACUGGCAAGCUAGAGUAUGGUAGAGGGUGGUGGAAUUUCCUGUGUAGCGGUGAAAUGCGUAGAUAUAGGAAGGAACACCAGUGGCGAAGGCGACCACCUGGACUGAUACUGACACUGAGGUGCGAAAGCGUGGGGAGCAAACAGGAUUAGAUACCCUGGUAGUCCACGCCGUAAACGAUGUCAACUAGCCGUUGGGAGCCUUGAGCUCUUAGUGGCGCAGCUAACGCAUUAAGUUGACCGCCUGGGGAGUACGGCCGCAAGGUUAAAACUCAAAUGAAUUGACGGGGGCCCGCACAAGCGGUGGAGCAUGUGGCUUAAUUCGAAGCAACGCGAAGAACCUUACCAGGCCUUGACAUCCAAUGAACUUUCCAGAGAUGGAUUGGUGCCUUCGGGAACAUUGAGACAGGUGCUGCAUGGCUGUCGUCAGC
rnacentral:rRNA from 1 species